AAAGAGGAACAACUCUUUCUUGGUUAAGGAGUUCGGUAACAACACUCAGAGUGUUCAGUUUAGCAGAGAGCCAAACAAUCUCUACAACCUCAACUCCUACAAGUACCCUGGUUUGGCCAACAAGAAAACUGUUACUAUUCAGCCAGCUGGCAAAGAUCAGUCUAUGUUGUUGGCGACCACCAAGCCAAGGAAGCAGAACAAACCUUCCGCUUUGCUUCACAAAUCUGUGAUGAAGAAGGAAUUCAGGAGGAUGUCAAAGGCUGUCCAAAAUCAGAUAUUUCUACCAAUGCAUUCAAGAUGUAUAUAAAAGUUCUCCGAAACAUACGUCACCUCCUGUUUCUCUUCUAGGACAGUUGUUGUGGCGAGAGUUCUUUUACACAACAGCUUUUGGGACUCCAAAUUUCGAUAGGAUGAAAGGUAAUAGGAUAUGCAAGCAGUGAUUUGGUUGUUGCAUGGAUUACUUUUUAUACAUUGAUGAAAUGACAAACCCCGAUAAGGUUAGAAUUUGGUUCACCUUGCUUUAACAUUUUAUAACAAAUGCAUAAGUUUUUAAGCUUUUUUCUUUUAUUACUUAUGGCAGGAAGAAGCUGAAAAAAUUACACAACCAAUUCUAGAUGCUCUAGGUGAAGACUAUUCUACUUGUUGCGAAGGUACCGAUUUCACUAUUGUUUGUCGGUCAACAAUCACUGCUAUAUUUCAGCUUAACAGGGCCAAGAGAUUACUGGUGGUUUUCACAGAAUGAAGUCAUUGAUUAAUUAGUUUAUGAUUUGGUAUUUUAACCAUGUAGUAUGUAAAGUAACAUAUGUUGAAUUCUUUUUUCAAAAAGAUAUAUUUAAAUUAGUUUAGAUAUUGUGCAACUAUUCAGUUCAUUAAGU